rnacentral:rRNA from 1 species
UACGUAGGGGGCAAGCGUUGUCCGGAUUUAUUGGGCGUAAAGAGCGUGUAGGCGGCUAGGUAGGUCCGUUGUGAAAACUCGAGGCUCAACCUCGAGACGCCGAUGGAAACCAUCUAGCUAGAGUACGGAAGAGGCGAGUGGAAUUCCUGGUGUAGCGGUGGAAUGCGCAGAUAUCAGGAGGAACACCAAUAGCGAAGGCAGCUCGCUGGGACGUUACUGACACUGAGGCGCGAAAGCGUGGGGAGCGAACAGG